rnacentral:rRNA from 1 species
CCUACGGGGGGCAGCAGUGAGGAAUAUUGGUCAAUGGACGAGAGUCUGAACCAGCCAAGUAGCGUGAAGGAUGACUGCCCUAUGGGUUGUAAACUUCUUUUAUAUGGGAAUAAAAUGUUCCACGUGUGGGAUUUUGUAUGUACCAUAUGAAUAAGGAUCGGCUAACUCCGUGCCAGCAGCCGCGGUAAUACGAAGGAUCCGAGCGUUAUCCGGAUUUAUUGGGUUUAAAGGGAGCGUAGGUGGAUUGUUAAGUCAGUUGUGAAAGUUUGCGGCUCAACCGUAAAAUUGCAGUUGAAACUGGCAGUCUUGAGUACAGUAGAGGUGGGCGGAAUUCGUGGUGUAGCGGUGAAAUGCUUAGAUAUCACGAAGAACUCCGAUUGCGAAGGCAGUUCACUGGACUGCAACUGACACUGAGGCUCGAAAGUGUGGGUAUCAAACAGGAUUAGAUACCCCAGUAGUC